rnacentral:lncRNA from 12 species
GGAUGCUAAAGGAUGUAGUAUUGUCUGUUGAGCACACUCUGCUGGCUUGACUCUUGCCUGGGAAGCAAGACAAAUGUCAUAUAUGUGAAAAGUCCUUCCUAGAAGCCCUUAUCCAUGAUCUAGGAAGUCUCUCCCAUUUUUCUACCUGACCUCCCUGCUCC